AUGUCGACCAAACGCGCGUGCGUGCGUGCAUGCGACGAGACGACGGCGGCGGCAACCCUGCCGGUGGAUCUCCUGCUGGAGAUCGCCGCUCGCUCCGACGCCGCGGCCAUCGUCCGGUGCGCCGCCGCCUCCAAGCCCCUCCGCGGCGCCAUCCUCGACCCGGCCUUCCGCCGCCGCCUGGCCCUCCGUGGCUUUGACCCCACGCUCCUCCGCCGCGUCUCGUACACGCUGGAGGAGAGGGACGUGAAUCGCAUCGCGCGCGUAGUCCAGACGCCCUUGCCAUCAUCCGAUUCCGAGCCCGUCCCGGUCCGCUCGAGACUGGCAAGCCUCAGGUUGGAGCCCGCGGCCUGGCGCGACGGCCUCGUCGUCUUCCGCCGCUACAGCCGCAUAAGGUCCUACAGCCGCGACCAAUAUCGUCUCAUCAAAAACAUAAGCCCCGGCCAAUAUGAGGAUGAUGAGCAGCUCACGGUCUGCAGCAAUAUCAUCACCGGCCAGGCCUUGCCUCUUCCUCCCAUGGCCGUAAGGGACCACUACCCUCCCGCGCUGCUCACCGUCGACGGCAACUGUUUCGAGCUGCUCGUCGCCGACGAGGACCUGACAAGCCAGAUCUACUCGUCAGAGGACGGCAAAUGGAGCGCGGCCCGUGCCGCCCACCACGCCAUGCAUCCACCACCCCGGUCGCUGCUUGGCAGCAACAAACACCCGGUGAUCAUCGGACGCACCGUGCACUGGUUGUGCGUCCCGGGCUGGUGCCACAACCUAGCAAAAGCCGACGAGCUCCAGAUCGUGGCUCUGGACGUCGACACGGCGCAGGCGACCGUGAUCGACCUGCCGCAGGGCUGCGUUAGCAGAAUGUCGGGCUUCAAGAACAACAACGCGAUCACGCUGGCCGUUUCGGCGGGUGGGACUAGGCUGAGCCUGGUCGUGUCGGAGACCCGGGUGAUGUCGAUGUGGUCCUUGUGGGAGUCGACGUGGAGCCGUCGGGUGCUGAUUGACGGCCCGGACUGGAACGUGCACAAGUCCGUUCGCUUCGAGGGAUUCGGGGAGAGGAGCGGCACCGUGCUCUUUGACAUGAGCAAUGUCGGGCUCGUCCAGUUCAACCUUGCAACAAUGGAGGCCCUCGUGUUGCUUCACACGAGCGGCCCAAAGAAGAACCGCAUCUCUCAGGUGUGCCUGCACGAGAUCAAUUUGGACUCUAUGCUGCGAGCCAUGAAGCCUUUCAUCUAG
rnacentral:rRNA from 1 species